UUUUACUGUGGCUUCAAAUUAGCAUGUGGUAACAUCUUGUUUUGUUCAGGUAUAUUCUUGGAUCUGAAUAUUGUUUGUUCCAAGAUUGCAUUUCAAAUUGGUUCAAGUGUUUCUUGUAAUUACCUGAUUCAAUUUUGAUCUUAUAUCUUGAUUGGUAGUUAUUGUAUUUGGAUGUCGGUUGGCGAUCUCAGUUGUGGUUAAUUUUUCUUGUAACCAUCCUGUCAUCCAGAUUGAUCCUAAUUUUUGUUUUCUAUUUUUAUGAUGCUUGUUUGUUUAUGAAUUGAUCAGCAAAUGGCUUAACCCUCAUUUUUGGUUGGCUGAGGAGCCUUUGGAAUAGAAACGUUUAGUCUUGAUAUUAAAGAACAUAGAGAAAAA
rnacentral:misc_RNA from 1 species